rnacentral:rRNA from 1 species
AAGACCUUGCGCUUUUGGAGCGGCCGAUGCCUGAUUAGCUUGUUGGUAAGGUAAAAGCUUACCAAGGCUUCGAUCAGUAGCUGGUCUGAGAGGACGACCAGCCACACUGGGACUGAGACACGGCCCAGACUCCUACGGGAGGCAGCAGUGGGGAAUUUUGGACGAUGGGGGCAACCCUGAUCCAGCCAUGCCGCGUGAGUGAAGAAGGCCUUCGGGUUGUAAAGCUCUUUCAGCCGGAACGAAACGGUUACGGUUAAUACCCGUGAUUACUGACGGUACCGGAAGAAGAAGCACCGGCUAACUACGUGCCAGCAGCCGCGGUAAUACGUAGGGUGCGAGCGUUAAUCGGAAUUACUGGGCGUAAAGCGUGCGCAGGUGGUUUUGUAAGUCAGAUGUGAAAGCCCCGGGCUCAACCUGGGAACU